rnacentral:rRNA from 1 species
AAUAGAUACCCGGUAGUCCACGCCGUAAACGAUGAGUGCUAAGUGUUAGAGGGUUUCCGCCCUUUAGUGCUGCAGCUAACGCAUUAAGCACUCCGCCUGGGGAGUACGGUCGCAAGACUAGAAACUCAAAGGAAUUGACGGGGGCCCGCACAAGCGGUGGAGCAUGUGGUUUAAUUCGAAGCAACGCGAAGAACCUUACCAGGUCUUGACAUCCUCUGACAACUCUAGAGAUAGAGCGUUCCCCUUCGGGGGACAGAGUGACAGGUGGUGCAUGGUUGUCGUCAGCUCGUGUCGUGAGAUGUUGGGUUAAGUCCCGCAACGAGCGCAACCCUUGAUCUUAGUUGCCAGCAUUUAGUUGGGCACUCUAAGGUGACUGCCGGUGACAAACCGGAGGAAGGUGGGGAUGACGUCAAAUCAUCAUGCCCCUUAUGACCUGGGCUACACACGUGCUACAAUGGAUGGUACAAAGGGCUGCAAGACCGCGAGGUCAAGCCAAUCCCAUAAAACCAUUCUCAGUUCGGAUUGUAGG